rnacentral:sRNA from 1 species
UUGCUGUGCGUGAAAUGCAGGAUGAGAACCUGCCGCAGGUUCGGGUCGAGCAAAGCGAGACAACGGAGCCGCUGGCGGCGACGGCCCGAAGGGCGAGCGAAGCGAGUCAUCCUGCACGACCCACCA